GAUGAAGCCCAGCUUGCUGGGUGGAUUAGUGGCGAACGGGUGAGUAACACGUGAGCAACCUGCCCCUGACUCUGGGAUAAGCGCUGGAAACGGCGUCUAAUACUGGAUAUGUCCCGUCACCGCAUGGUGUGCGGGUGGAAAGAUUUUUCGGUUGGGGAUGGGCUCGCGGCCUAUCAGCUUGUUGGUGAGGUAAUGGCUCACCAAGGCGUCGACGGGUAGCCGGCCUGAGAGGGUGACCGGCCACACUGGGACUGAGACACGGCCCAGACUCCUACGGGAGGCAGCAGUGGGGAAUAUUGCACAAUGGGCGGAAGCCUGAUGCAGCAACGCCGCGUGAGGGAUGACGGCCUUCGGGUUGUAAACCUCUUUUAGCAGGGAAGAAGCGAGAGUGACGGUACCUGCAGAAAAAGCACCGGCUAACUACGUGCCAGCAGCCGCGGUAAUACGUAGGGUGCAAGCGUUAUCCGGAAUUAUUGGGCGUAAAGAGCUCGUAGGCGGUCUGUCGCGUCUGCUGUGAAAUCCCGAGGCUCAACCUCGGGCUUGCAGUGGGUACGGGCAGACUAGAGUGCGGUAGGGGAGAUUGGAAUUCCUGGUGUAGCGGUGGAAUGCGCAGAUAUCAGGAGGAACACCGAUGGCGAAGGCAGAUCUCUGGGCCGUAACUGACG
rnacentral:rRNA from 1 species